ACUCAUAGGAUCAUGCCACGUGU
rnacentral:siRNA from 1 species